UGUUGUUCAGUUUCAGAAGAAGUAGCGUUAAAAGCAGGAUGAGAAGAAAAUUCAUUCUUCACAGUACGCCACAAAGUAUAAGAAUGAAUUUUAUCACUACUUUUUAGCAUCUCAAUAAACUCCUUCCUAAUCUUAGUUACUCGGUUCUUUUCUGCAUCACUUUGAUCGGUCAAAUAGUUUAAGAUGUACGCAUCGAAAGCACAUUUCCGAUGCCAAGGAUCCUUCAUGACAUAAUAGCCCUUAGCAUCACAAAGCUCUCGGACAGUCUGCUCCCAAGUCCAGCUUGGGUUGACAUUAUGAGAGUCUAAAAAUUUAAAGAAAGCGCGCUCUGCGGCUUCAUAGGUAUCAUAGUUUUCGUGCUGAUAAUCAUUAGAACGUUUUUGGCGCUUAUCCUUUUGUUGAACAAAGUUUAUAGUUCGUUUAUGACUGCCUUGUGAAAUUUGUUGGCUUUGAUCUUUAGCUGGUUGACUUGAAGGAGCAGCAACAUCCGGACCAUGCCGUUGAAUGCUUUGAACAGCUGGCUUGUUGUCAUUGCUUUUGAUUUUAGACGACAAAGCCUUUUUUUGCUGUUCCGGUUCAUCAACAA